UACAGAGGUCUCGAGCGUUAGGCGGAAUCACUGGGCUUAAAGCGUGUGUAGGCGGAUCGUUAAGUGCCUUGUGAAAUCCCACGGCUCAACCGUGGAACUGCUUGGCAUACUGGCGGUCUUGAGCCACUUAGGGGCUACCGGAACAAAUGGUGGAGCGGUGAAAUGCGUAGAUAUCAUUUGGAACGCCAAUGGUGAAAACAGGUAGCUGGGAGUGUGCUGACGCUGAGACACGAAAGCCAGGGGAGCAAACGGG
rnacentral:rRNA from 1 species